UACCAGAAUCAAUAUUUGCUUCAUUUGAGUCUAUGUCGAGGUAGAAGGAAGUUACCACUUUUAUUGUUGUAGUCUGAGUAACGUGACGUCAUAUCUGUUCCGUAUCCGUCAACCAAAACAACCUGCAGCGAGCCAAAACGACAAAGCAGAAAACGUCGGAGGGUCCACGUGGAUACGAC